GACGAACGCUGGCGGCGUGCCUAAUACAUGCAAGUAGAACGCUGAAGGAGGAGCUUGCUCUUCUGGAUGAGUUGCGAACGGGUGAGUAACGCGUAGGUAACCUGCCUGGUAGCGGGGGAUAACUAUUGGAAACGAUAGCUAAUACCGCAUAGCAGUAGAUGUUGCAUGACAUUUACUUAAAAGGUGCAAUUGCAUCACUACCAGAUGGACCUGCGUUGUAUUAGCUAGUUGGUGGGGUAACGGCUCACCAAGGCGACGAUACAUAGCCGACCUGAGAGGGGGAUCGGCCACACUGGGACUGAGACACGGCCCAGACUCCUACGGGAGGCAGCAGUAGGGAAUCUUCGGCAAUAGACGGAAGUCUGACCGAGCAACGCCGCGUGAGUGAAGAAGGUUUUCGGAUCGUAAAGCUCUGUUGUAAGAGAAGAACGAGUGUGAGAGUGGAAAGUUCACACUGUGACGGUAUCUUACCAGAAAGGGACGGCUAACUACGUG
rnacentral:rRNA from 1 species